rnacentral:rRNA from 1 species
UACAGAGGUCUCAAGCGUUUGUUCGGAUUCAUUGGGCGUAAAGGGUGUGUAGGUGGCGCGCUAAGUCGGGUGUGAAAUUUCGGAGCUUAACUCCGAAACUGCAUUCGAUACUGGCGUGCUUGAGGACUGGAGAGGAGACUGGAAUUCAUGGUGUAGCAGUGAAAUGCGUAGAGAUCGGGAGGAAUACCAGUGGCGAAGGCGGCCUUCUGGACUGACACUGACGCUGAGGCGCGAAAGCCAGGGGAGCAAACGGGG